AGUAUCACAGCUGCUAAUGGCUCAAAAAACAUUUCCCCGGGAGAAUCGUCUGAAGUCACCGAACAUUUCGAUCGCAUUUCUGCACAGCUCUUUCUUCCAGUCCCAAACUGGCAAAGGAAAGCAAAGUUUGAUGGACCAGUGAAGGAGAAACUAGAGAUGAAGUAUUCAAGGCACUCCCCACCCCCUUGUACCCUGCUGCUGCCCCCGUCACUCCUGCUACACCGGUGACCCCAGCUGCCACCCCUGAAACUGCCAUGUCCACCUCCAGUAAUACUCAAGCGCCGGACCGCAAGGAAGCUGUUCCCAAAGAGAGAGCUGGACAGCAGGAGUGGCAGUGAGGAGGAGGUGAAGGAAGAACAAGGACCUCAGAAAAAAAGAGCACGGGUUGACAAAACACAGGACAGCACAGAGAGAAGACGGACCAGGCCCAGUACGACCCGUCCAGACCCAACUACCACCCGGUGGACCAUGCCUGCUGGGGGUGGGGACGUUCAACCCCCUUGUCACAAUUCCACACCCCUCUGUUAUAUACCUCAACCUGGGUCGUGUUCACUAGGGUCCCUUAUUCAGCUGUUGCACGUACCUUUGAGAAGAUUGAGGAAGACUGGCAGAUAAGGGGAAUUUAAUAUACCUCUGAAGUUGUGACUGAAGUUUGUUCUUGUAGGACCUGCUGAGCUGUGUUUACCUGUGUCUCAAUCAGUUGGUUCCUGCUUACCUGGGACUGGAGCUGGAAGUGGAAGAAACUGUACUGAUGAAAGCUGUUGCCCAAGCAAUUGGGUGACAGUUGGACAAAAUCAAGGCGGUGGCUGCAGAGAAGGGCGACACGGGUUUGGUGGGGGAGAGUUCCCGUAGCAACCAGAGAAUGUUCCAGCCAGCCAAUCUGACGGCAGGGGGCGUGUUCAACAAACUGAAAGACAUCAGGAACAUGAGUGGGAACUCUGAGUUGUUUGUCUGUCUGAUGUUUACAUGAACAUCCUCAAUGUUUUUGAUACAUUUACUGAUUAAAAACCAGUCUUCUGCUGUCUAGGAAA